rnacentral:rRNA from 2 species
UGCAGUCGAGCGGACAGAAGGGAGCUUGCUCCCGGAUGUUAGCGGCGGACGGGUGAGUAACACGUGGGUAACCUGCCUGUAAGACUGGGAUAACUCCGGGAAACCGGAGCUAAUACCGGAUAGUUCCUUGAACCGCAUGGUUCAAGGAUGAAAGACGGUUUCGGCUGUCACUUACAGAUGGACCCGCGGCGCAUUAGCUAGUUGGUGGGGUAAUGGCUCACCAAGGCGACGAUGCGUAGCCGACCUGAGAGGGUGAUCGGCCACACUGGGACUGAGACACGGCCCAGACUCCUACGGGAGGCAGCAGUAGGGAAUCUUCCGCAAUGGACGAAAGUCUGACGGAGCAACGCCGCGUGAGUGAUGAAGGUUUUCGGAUCGUAAAGCUCUGUUGUUAGGGAAGAACAAGUGCGAGAGUAACUGCUCGCACCUUGACGGUACCUAACCAGAAAGCCACGGCUAACUACGUGCCAGCAGCCGCGGUAAUACGUAGGUGGCAAGCGUUGUCCGGAAUUAUUGGGCGUAAAGGGCUCGCAGGCGGUUUCUUAAGUCUGAUGUGAAAGCCCCCGGCUCAACCGGGGAGGGUCAUUGGAAACUGGGAAACUUGAGUGCAGAAGAGGAGAGUGGAAUUCCACGUGUAGCGGUGAAAUGCGUAGAGAUGUGGAGGAACACCAGUGGCGAAGGCGACUCUCUGGUCUGUAACUGACGCUGAGGAGCGAAAGCGUGGGGAGCGAACAGAUUAGAUACCCUGGUAGUCCACGCCGUAACGAUGAGUGCUAAGUGUUAGGGGGUUUCGCCCUAUGCUGCAGCUAACGCAUUAAGCACUUCGCCUGGGG